rnacentral:rRNA from 1 species
CCCUUAGAUGUUCUGGGCCGCACGCGCGCUACACUGAUGCAUUCAACGAGUCCAACCUUGACCGAGAGGUCCGGGUGAUCUUUGAAACUGCAUCGUGAUGGGGCUAGAUUAUUGCAAUUAUUAAUCUUCAACGAGGAAUGCCUAGUAAGCGUGAUUCAUCAAAUCGCGUUGAUUACGUCCCUGCCCUUUGUACACACCGCCCGUCGCUCCUACCGAUUGAGUGUGUUGGUGAGGAGUUUGGAUUGGCCUCGGAAGGUGGUUCGCCACCGUCCGUAGCUGAGAAGUUCUCCAAACCGCCCCACUUAGAGGAAGGAGAAGUCGUAACA